rnacentral:lncRNA from 1 species
GGCGCUCACGAGCAAAGUUUCACUACGUAAAAAGGAGAGUAAAACAAAUCCAAUUAUAGUAAUGAGGACAGAGAACAAUAUUCACUCACAAAUACUCUCUCAAAUGGAACAAGAAUUCUCACCAAAAUACACUUGAACAAGGGGGCUCACUAUUUUGGAGAAGAGACCACUCUUUGUAUGUAAGUAUUGGUGUUGAAUUUGUG